rnacentral:rRNA from 1 species
GGUGAACGCUGGCGGCGUGCUUAAGACAUGCAAGUCGAACGGGCUCUUCGGAGCCAGUGGCGCACGGGUGAGUAACGCGUAACUGACCUACCCCAAAGUCGCGGAUAACGAUUCGAAAGAAUCGCUAAUACGUGAUGUGCUGUCAGAUCCUGUUCUGCCAGUAAAGAUUUAUUGCUUUGGGAUGGGGUUGCGUUCCAUCAGCUAGUUGGUGGGGUAAAGGCCCACUAAGGCGACGACGGAUCGCCGGCCUGAGAGGGUGGCCGGCCACAGGGGCACUGAGACACGGGUCCCACUCCUACGGGAGGCAGCAGUUAGGAAUCUUCCACAAUGGGCGAAAGCCUGAUGGAGCGACGCCGCGUGAGGGGUGAAGGUCUUCGGAUCGUAAACCUCUGAAUCAGGGACGAAAGACGCGAAAGCGGGAUGACGGUACCUGAGUAAUAGCACCGGCUAACUCCGUG